UGCAGCCCCGUCCGGGCGCUGUUUGCUCCCAGUUCCCUCCCAGUAUCGCUCUUACUGGGGAAGCUGGGAGGGAAAGCGCUCCCAGUUCUUUCCCGGUGCUCUCCGGAGCUCUCCCGGUACUCUCCCUGUUGUUCCCAGUGCUCCCAAUAUCACUCCCAGUGGUCUGAAUGGCCUUCAGGGCUGCUCUGAAACCCACUCGGGCAAAAGCACGGCCGUAUUUGGGUGCCGGCACCAGCUCGGGCCGGCCCGGGAGAAGAGGGAGGAGGAGCGGGAGGAAGAGCACUGACAGCAGCAGCACCAUGCGGCUCCCGCCCGCUCAGGCCGCAGCCCCACUCCCCACCCCCGUUUCAGUGGCAUCGCCCCCCCGGAACCCGCAGGAUUUCCCAUUCCCACACCUUGGCCGGAUGGAGGAAGAGGAGAGCGCCAGGAAGAGGUUCCAGGGCACAAGGCAGACAAGGAGCUGAGACCAGGGAGGACAAAUCCCUGCAGCAGAACCUUGUGGAAGAGGCCGUUUUGAGCAGCUCCAUGGUGCAGAAAUCCAAUGGAGAGGAAAAGCCCUGGAGAUCCCACACAAGGAGAGGCUGCAAACACAGAUCAUGGGGAUCGGAGGAGGAAAGACCCACCCUGGGCUGGGGAGGUGGCCGGAGCUUGGAGCUGGGAAUCCAUGAGCAGCUUCAGGAUGGGGAGAAGCCCCACAAGUGCUCAAAAUGUGGGAAGAACUUCAGCAAGAGAACCUCCCUGAUCUGCCACUGGAGAAUCCACACAGGGGAAUGGCCCUACGAGUGUAGUGAGUGUAGGAAGAGCUUCAGGACAAGCUCUGACGUGAUUGUCCACCUGAGUAGCCACACAGGGGACUGGUCUGUGAAUGUAGGGAGUGUGGGAAGAGCUUCAGGAUGAGCUCUGACCUGAUCUGACACAUGGGAAUCCACACAGGGGAACGGCCCUAUCAGUGUCCCGAUUGCAGGAGGAGCUUCAGGAUGAGCUCUGACAAUCAGCUCCUCUGAUUGUCCACCAGGGGAGCCACCCAGAGUUGUAUAAUUAAGGUAGUUAUAUGAUUAGAUACAUUUUAGUUACAAAAAAUUAUAUAUAUAUAUAUAUAAAAAUUGUAUAAAUACAAAAAUUAUUUAAAAUUAUAUAUAUAAUAAUAAAAUUAUAAUUGGGAUUAUCGUGAAAGAGAGAGUAGGGGUAGGGGGAAAAAGGACAGGAGCCUCCGGAGUCAAAGACCGAAUCUUCAUAGAAGUAUGAUCAAUGUUUAUUGUUAGGGUCAGAAUACAUUUAUAUGGUUAUCCAGAGUUCAACUGACACAAGAAAGUAUCUGAUUGGUUAACAAAGCACUGUGCAUAAAACAAAGAGCAUUUCUUAAACAUAUCUUGGUCACAUAGCUUAGCUUGUCAGCAAUAUCAGCAGAACAUCUCAUCCUCUGCUAGCAUCUUCAGACCAUGUUCUUGCACAUCCUCUUCCCUUGGAUGCUGUAGCUCUCGCACGCUGCGGUCGCUCGGAGCGAAGGGACGCCGGCCAGCUGCUCCCUGUGUGGCCACAGAGGGGCGAUACAAGACUGGCCGCUCCCAGGCUCUCGCUGAGACUGCCCAGGUAGUGGUGACAGCUGCGGCGUGGGUGACGCAGGCUGGUGUGAGGUACGAGGUCCCGAGGUAAAGGAGUGAAAGAAGGAACCCUUGUAUAGGUUCCAAGGAAACUUUAAUCCAAGGAGGGUCCAGGGAUAAGUGUGAAGGGAGAAGGGUUUGGCUAGCCCUUAUAAAGUGAGUGGGCGUGGGGCGUGGAGGCAUGAGGGAACCAAUAGGUGAAGGUAAAGGAAGGCUGACGUAACACAAAAGGCCCAAUGAGAAGCACAUGGGGGAGGGAGGAGGCCUUGAGGACAAAUCAGGAGCUAGGCUGGGGAUGAGUGACAUAGAAGUCUCUCGAAAAAAAGAGGGGGGGUUAGCAUGACAGACAGGGGCAGGAGGCAGCACCAUGGGGAUUGACAUAACCAUAUAAGGGCUUAGGGGGAGGAACAAGGGACUCCUCACUUUGAUUGGCAGGCCAGUGGCGGGAAAAAUGGGGGGAAAAACAACUUUGGAACAAACCAUCAUAGGGGGUUUACACGGGGGGGGGAAAGGAACAAACCAUUACUUAAACUAACAAAGAAUAAUUAAUUUUCAUAACAACUUCAACUUAUACUUUUUAAAACACGCAACGCCACAAGUGCAGUUGGAAAACGUUCUUAUGCUAGCUGUCCAAGGGCAGCAUGCUUCUGCUAUCAGGCACAUACACAGAGUGUUGGCAAGCAUGCUUCUAAAUCCACAGAAUGUCCAUUGUUUUUACCUGCAGGGUUGUGCACAUAGGCCAUAGCAUCUGCCCAAAAUGCUCUCUAACAAUAAAGUUGCAUUUUUUCUCUUAAUAGUGUGAGGGAAAAGGGCUUUUCUGGAGUACAACAAUGUGUUUGUCUUUUUUAAAGAGCUUUAGUGAGCUUUUUAAGGGUUUUUGAGCUUCAGAUGUCAAAGUUGUAGGAGAUUUGAUGUUAUAGUCUCUUCUUAAUAGGUUAAAAAGUGGAGUAAGUUCAUAAUUUGUAAUUCUUAAAACAGAUCUGACCUAAUUUAUCUCUCCUAAAAGCUGUUGUGAAUCUUGUAUGGUGUUGACAUUGGUUCAAAAUUGUAUUUUUUGUGGUUUGACUGUUUGUUCUGUUAUCUUUUAUCUUAAAUAUUUCUAGGGUGAGAUUUCUUUUAUUUUGAUGUUGAAAUUUUUAGUCUAACAUUUUGAACUUCAGUGAUAAUGCUGUCUUGAGUCUGUUCUAUUUAUUUUUGAGUUGAUGCUGCAAUGAGUAAGUCAUUCAUGUAGUGUAAAAAUCUUAAUAAUGGGUGUUUUUGUUGGGCUGGAGACAAAGCGCUCACCGUGAAAUAUUGAUAAAUAGUAGGUGAGUUUUCGUACAUGGUUGCAAAACUGCCUAGUGAUACUUUAUAGAGGUUUCUCUCUAUUGAUGGUUGGAACUGAAAAGGUAAAUCAAGAAGCAUCUUCUGGAUGCAAUGGAAUGUUUAAAAAACAAUCUUUUAAGUUGAAGACAAGAGGCCACUCCUCUGGAAUUAUUGAAAGAGAAUGAAGUCUAGGUUACAAAUGUCUUAUGUCUUUAUGUCUUCUAUGAUUUCAUUGAUCUUCUUUAGGUCAUGGAGCAAUCUUUAGGAAUCAGAAGUCUUCUUACGAAUGAUAAAAACUGGGGAAUUCUAGGGACUGUUUGUGGGUUUGAUGUGGCUUUUUUUUUAGUUGUUCACUUACUAAUUUCUUUAGGGCAUUCAAUUUUUUUUUUUGUUCAAGAGGCCAUUGAUCAAUCCAAAUGGGCUGAUUGGUUUUCUAUGAUAACUUCAGAGUGGUAGGCAUUGUUGUGGUUUCUAUCAAAAACCUGCUUCUAUCUUCACUCACCACUGAGACAACACAUCUCCCCUCCAUGCUGUGAUGGGCUUCUGCACCAUGAAGGGACGGAUGGUUGCUGUCUUUCUUUUGGUAACAGUGAUUAUGAAUUGAUUUUAUAGACACAAGGCAGCUCAUCUAAUUCUUGUGAGAGUACACAUGGGUGUCCCCAAAUUCUAAUCACUCGGCUAAAAUGCAUGAGAAAUCACAGUGACAUCUGCCCCUGUGUCUAGUCUACUAGUAAUAUGAACUGUUUUACUAAGGUGUGUUAGACUGCGCGUCAGUUCUGGCCAUUCAUUGUCAACACGUUUUAUCUAAAGGACAUUAGGCACCGGGCUAAAACUCUCAAAAGGCAUUUCUCAGCAUACACUUUGUUUGCUAAUAUUCAUUGGUAAUGCAAUAGCAAUAGCUAUUGUUGGUAUUGGUUGAAUUACCAUUGGAGCGUUGUAGGCAAGAGCUAAAAUCAUUAGCUCUUCAUUACAAUUUGCUGAAAUGACAGCUGGAAAAAACUGAAAGUCUAAGAAUUCUAUUUCUGUCCUUGUCUAUAAUUAAAAAGUAUUCUCUUUGUUGUGAA